CAAAACAUAGCUUAUAUAGAAUAGCGUUUCACUUACGUUGAAAAGGAUUAUCGUGCAAAUCGGUUUGUUUUGA
rnacentral:tRNA from 1 species